rnacentral:lncRNA from 1 species
UCCUGAAAAUUCUCAAAAAAAAUCCCAAAAAAAUCCUAAAAAUUCUCCUAAAAAUCACCAAAGAAUCCCCCAAAAAAUCCCAAAAAAUCCCAUUAAAAAUCCCAAAAAAAUCCCCAAAAACAUUCCCAAAAAAUCCUAAAUAUUCUCCUAAAAUUCUCCUAAAAAUCCCCAAAUAAUCCCCCAAAAAUUCUGAAAUAGAUCCCAUAAAAAUUCCCCUAAAAAUCACCCAAAAUUCCCAAAAAAAUCCCAAAUCUUUGGGAUUUUUUGGGGAUUUUUUGGGAUUUUUUUUGGGAUUUUUUUGGAAUUUUUUUGGGAUUUUUUUUGGGAAUUUUUUGGGAUUUUAAAAAAAAUUUUUAUUUUAAUUUUUGGGGAUUUUUGGGGAAUUUUUGGGGAAAUUUUUAGGGACUUUUUUGGGAUUUUUUGGGAAUUUUUUGGAAAUACUUUGGGAUUUUUUGGGAAUUUUUUUGGGAAUUUUUUGGGAUUUUUUUGGGAUUUUUUGGGAUUUUUUGGGGAAUUUUUUUGGGAUUUUUUUGGGAUUUUUUAGGGAUUUUUUGGGAUUUUUUUGGGAUUUUUGGAGGAUUU